UUUUUGUAAAUAUAUUAUUAUUAUCCGUAACACUGGGGUGUCCUGUACUUUCCACAAACCUUGAGGAGUAAGUUGUCAUAUUUCUGAUAUUUUCUGAUAGUCAUUUGCACCGACACUGGGACCUGGACAUCUCUGGGAAAUCCCAUUAUCUUCAUCUCUGUGAUUCAUUAAGACCUUUCCCUUUCUUCUUCCUCCGUCCGCACUCUGCUGAGUGUUUUUAGCGUUUUUUUUUUUUACCAAAUUACCCUCCAUCCAUGGCCACCGCCCCUGCAAACCCCGACUGUUGCAGUCUCCCAGACCCCAUUCUCUUCAACAUCGCGCAAUGCCUCCAAACCCCAUUCUCUUCAACAUCGUUCCGCUUCGCCAUCCCUCUCCCCUCUCCGAAACUUUCUCCCGUUCAUUAUUUCUAUGACCCCGGAAUCUCCGACCCUCCUUUGCACCUCGUCAUUGCCGAAUACACUGUCUAUGCCUUGCAACCCCCUUUCCCACAAGGCCCAUCCGUGGAUAUUCAAAGUUGAAAAAUCAAGCCAGGGGAAAACCCGUCUCGCCGCCAUUUUGAAGAACACGUUCUUGAAUAUCGUGUGCAGGAAAUCGGUAAAGGGCAUAGAAUUGGCUGAGUUCCGGAUGAACAUUCGAGACAGUUUAGCGGGUGGAAAUAUAUUUUGUUGCAAAAGUUGCCGUCUCUGCAGAUAAUGAUGAGUUAGCAGUUAUGGCUUUUCUGAAUUUGGAGCUAAUGGUUUGGAGGAGCUCUAAUUAGAAAUGGGUCGACUUGGGUUUUGGUGAUGUUGAUGUUCAGGAUAUUGUUUAUUAUAAGAAGCAGUUUCGUGUAGUGAUGUCAAAUGGGCAUAUUUUAAGUGUUGAUCUGAAGUCUUUGGAGGUUAGUGAACCUUUGCCUCCAUUGUUGACUCGUUUUAAUUGCAAAAGCUUUGUAAAUACAUCUAGUGAAUUGUGUUUGAUUGAAAAUCGUAGUAGUAGUGAUAAAAAAGAAAAUGGGAAAUAAGAGAAAUUUCUCUCCAGCUGAGGUUGAGAAAGUGGUUUUGAAUUCUAUUUUCUAUGUGUUUAAGCUUGAUGAAGAAGAGUAAGAGUGGAUUGAGGUGAAGGAUUUGGAGUGUCGAGCAUUGUUUCUGUUUGAUGGUGGUAGCUUUUUUUUUUCGGCUAAAGAUUUUUUGGGAAUAAAACCAAAUUGUGUUUAUAUGGGUGAAACUUGUUUCUUUGGGGUUACAUAUGAUUUUCCAGGGAUGUAUGCUUUGAUUUUCGACUUCAAUGACGGUAGCAAUGAGUGGCUCGUAUCAUUUCCUGAAUCUUAUGAGAUUUUUUGGUCUCCACCAGCUUGGCUCUUCCCUGAAUGUUCCAAUUAGCCUUCUGUAAAUGUUCACGAGGGAGCAAUCUGCAUUUUAGUGUUUUGGAAGUGGGGCAUGUCUUUCUGUCAAAGUCUAGCUCUUGCUUUGUUAUUCUGUUAAACAUAAGGGGCACAUAUACUUAAGUGCAAGUAUAAUGUUGGGUUAUAUGAAAUCAUAUUUGCCACCACCGUCAAACUGCACUUUCUCUCCCACUUAAGCCUUAACAGCCACUAUCCUCAUUCUGCAACGCCAUGGUCAAAACCCGCUCAUAGUAUCAAAGAUCAGCAAGAUCCACCUAUCGGAAACCCCCUACACCAGAGCCAUCAUCUGAAUUCGAAGAAUCCCCCAUUAAUCAAACUUAACAGUCUUCACCCUUUCCUACAUAUUUGACGCCUCAAUCAUCAUCUUUCUCACCAUCACCUUGGCCACGACAAAAUGCCACUACUUCAGCCCAUUUUGGUCUACGUUCGGGCACUUGAAAAAGGAAAAAAGUGGAACUCUCUAGUAGCCUAAAGCUUAAACUAGGCGACUUCAAUACCUUCAUUGAUGAACAAGACCAACAACGGUAUGGGUCUAUAUGUGAGCGAAAAAUCUACCCCUAUAAGUAUGUUCAUAUUCAAACUCUUGAUCAAUUGGGCAUUCGUAAUGAAAUUGAUGAGCUUGUGAAUAGGCUGGAUUGGAAAAAUUAUGUAUAUGUGAAUUGCUCUGCCUUUAUUGAGCUAACCCGUGAAUUUUAUACAACAUUUCAAUUUAAUGAUAAUGAAGAGUUUGAUUUGUUUACUAAAUGAAUAGUUGAGUUUAGGA